CACGGACCGCACGAACGUUAUUCGGUAUCACUGGGCUUAAAGGGUGCGUAGGCGGCUUGGCAAGUUGGGUGUGAAAGCCCUCGGCUCAACCGAGGAAUUGCGCUCAAUACUGCCGAGCUCGAGAGAGACAGGAGGUAAGCGGAACUAAUGGUGGAGCGGUGAAAUGCGUUGAUAUCAUUAGGAACACCGGUGGCGAAGGCGGCGUUACUGGUC
rnacentral:rRNA from 1 species